rnacentral:rRNA from 1 species
UGCGUAGGCGGAAUGAUAAGUCAGUGGUGAAAUCCUACAGCUUAACUGUAGAACUGCCAUUGAUACUGUUGUUCUUGAGUACAUUUGAAGUGGGCGGAAUGUGUCAUGUAGCGGUGAAAUGCAUAGAGAUGACACAGAACACCGAUCGCGAAGGCAGCUCACUAAACUGUAACUGACGCUGAGGCACGAAAGCGUGGGGAUCAAACAGGAUUAGAUACCCGAGUAGUCC